CGCUAUCUCCAUGGCGACCGCGACCGGGUCACCCUUUUGGCCGCGGCGGUAGAAGUUACGUCAUCGCCUGUGCGUCCGGAAGUGACUGUUCCUGCGCCAGGGUGGACCGGGAAGACCGGGCCUUACCCUGCCUGGGCGCAGGUAGGCAAGCUGAUGCGGUGCCGACCGGGUGACCAUGGCGGUGUUUCACGACGAGGUGGAGAUCGAGGACUUUCAAUAUGACGAGGACUCGGAGACAUAUUUCUACCCUUGCCCCUGUGGGGAUAACUUUGCCAUCACCAAGAUGACACUUGGGAGGAAAGUUCUUUGUGUUGUUACCCAACUAAAGACUUGCCCAUAGACAUAGGAGAGAUUUAUGGGAAGUUGACGAAAGGCUAUGCUGACCAUAUGUUGUUUGAUUGCGUUGUAGGAAGAUUUGGAAAAUGGAGAAGAUGUGGCCACGUGUCCUAGCUGCUCACUCAUUAUAAAAGUGAUUUAUGACAAAGAUCAGUUCAUGUGUGGAGAAACAGUCCCAGCACCUUCAACCAACAAGGAGUUAGUUAAAUGCUGAAGAGGCUCUCAGGUACCCACAUCCUGAACCGUGGGGGCUGAGCCCAGGUGGAUGGAUCCAGUGCAGAGUUACCAACCUCCUCGAUGGGCAGCCUCAGGGGUGUGAUCUUCAUCAGCCACUGAACUCAGCAUGAAAAAGGGAGCCUAUGACAUGCCAGCCCUGGAUUCCAUACUGGGACUGGAAGGAUUCCUAAUUGUCCGUCUGAAUUUAAGGAAGAGCCUUAUUAUAAACUGUGGUUUUUCCUUCAGUCGGCUGCAUCAUUUGAACAUCUGGAAAUUCAUUUUCUGAAAAUAACAUCAUCCGCCUCAAUCCUGAGUGUCUUUUAUUUUUUUAAGAUUUAUUAUUUUAUUCUUAAUUGUGUGUGUAUGUGCAUUUGUGUGUGGGUACGUGCAUAUGAGUACCGUUGCCCAAGAUGGAUCUCCUGGAGCAGGAGUCCCAGGCAGUUGGGAGCCACCUGACGUGGAUGCUGGGACCCAAACUUUGGUUCCCUGAAAGCACUACACAUUCCUAACCUUGGAACCAUCUUUCCAGCCCGUGAUGGGAGCUUUUCAAAGAUUACAUUUUGACAUAGUUUCUGAGGUGGUUCAGGUGAGGCCUUUCCUAGAAACAUCUGCCUUUUCCAGAGCUGCACUUGCGGCUCAUUCAUCAGCCAGCCACCUAGGCUUGCCGUGACUGCGUUGUUCCUGUUCUCAGUCAUUUCUGUUACUUUUCACGCGCCAAGUGCAGUCCUGGUAUUAGACCGUAAGACCACAGUUUCUCUGUAGCUUCCAGUUAGUGAGGAAGGAGGGACGUCUGAAGUGACUUAGUAAAAGAGACACUGUUCUUUAAUGCCUCGUGCAUCCUUAUGUCAGGACAGGUUAAAAGGAAACAGCCAAGUGAGGUACCUUAGCUGGCAGCAGCGCGAGGCGUGAAGCCUGCUAACUUGCCAAGUGAAAGUGCGUGAGUAUUGCCAGCUGGAAACAAGUAUUUCUGUAUCAGGGCCUUUAUUUCUUGAAAGGCCUGAUGGGUUCAUCUUAGACGGGCGAGGCUGAUCCUAUCUGUAGUGGUUGUAACGGGGCACAGUUUUGUGUCACCGUUAGUCUUAAGAAGUGCAGACGCUACAACAGGAUGAGCUUGGAAGUGUGAGCUGGCUCUAAGACAUGCCUGUGAUGGCACACCUAGGAAGACUGCACAUAACGGUACCCAAAUCAGACAUGCACCCCCGCUGCCCUGAAAAAAAGAAAUAUAUGUCAAGAAUGACUGUCUGCACUGCAGUCUGAGAGCAUCCAGACGUUAGACUCAGUCAGAGGUUUGAAAGUUCUUUUGUAAACAGCUUUGCUGUGAAUACGUAAAAUACUUUUGAAAGUCCACCGCUUAUCCAGCAGAGUGUUUGGGAUAUGGCUGCUGCAACUGAAAACAAGCCAGUAGGGGCUGGAGAGAUGGCUCAUGGGUUAAGAGUUCUUGCUGUUCUUCUAGAGGACCGGUGUUCAAUUCUUAGCACCCACAUAGCAGCUCACAACUAUCUGGGGCUCCAGUUCCUGGGACUCUGAUGCCCUCUUCUGCCCUCCAUAAAUACCAGGCAUGCACAUAGUUUACAGACAUACAUGCAGACAAAAGACCCAUACAACUAAGUAAUAAUUUUUUUAAAAAAAGAAAUGGCUAAUAAAUACAUUGUAUCCACUCAUUGAAGGUUUGAAUUAAAAUAUGUAACAGUGUAUGGUUCUAGGCAGCCAUUAGGCUGAGACUUAAGUUAAAAGUUGUCUGAAGUGUGUUGUACAGUACAUGUCAGAUUUCUUCCUUUGUUUGUGGGAGGUGGGAAGGCAUUGAACCCAGAGCCUUGCUCACGCCGGGCAAGCCCUCCAGUACUGGGCUGCACCUUCAGCCAGCAUAGUUUUCAUACUGCUGUUUGGUGUCUCCCAAAUUAUCUUACAGAAUGAAGCUACUGCUCAGACGGGCAGAGCAAGGUGAUUCUGGGGAGGAGGAGCUGCCUGGGGAAACAGAUGGUCUGUGCUCAUGAGAGCGAUGCUUUUGGAGAUCUCACCAGCAGUCUCUGCUGCUGCGGUUGCUGCUGUAUUCCACAGCAGACGUCUUCUGUGAUCACAAUGGAGCAGGAGUCCACAUUCAAACGGCCCAGGAGAGAGAGAGCGCGAACAGACCGGGGAUGAGUGCCUGGUAGGAGCGGGUGUGACUUUGUAUUUAAAGCAACCAAGCAAGUUUAUAAACUAGAAGAAAUACCAGCUAUUAACCCCGUAUUAAACAGAAAAACCCAAGGUCAUUCAGAUGUGACUGGAAUCCCAGACGUUUCCAGAGUACUCAGCUGACAGUUGGCAUUUCAGAUGUGAUUCCUUGUCAGACCUUUUGUCAACCCAAAACUAUGAGUGGACGCUUCAUUUUCUUUCACAGCAUCGCACUUUAGAGUGGAAAGUUUCUAGUUCAAAGGAUCCUUUCCUUUCCUGCGAGUGCUUUCUCCCCCGAGGACUUUGAACUUGGGACUCCUCCUUUGUGUUCACAGAAGACCUACAUCAAUAUAUUCACAUCUGCAUUCAGACACAGCCAACAAUUUUUUUUUAGUACUGCGUGGAUCAGUUCAUUAGAACGACUUGCAUUGCCAAGCUAAUAAAAUGAGAACAUGCAAAUUCAUGUUUUCUUGAAGCUUUUAUUCGACCAAAUACUAAAAUUUUACGU